UUCCGUAGGUGAACCUGCGAAGGAUCAUUAAUAAAUGGUCUACUUUUUUAAUAGACGCUAAUAAUCCUACCUUGUAAUUUGUUUGUUUGAAUAAUUUUUUUUAAAUAUUGAAUGUUUCCUGUUGAAUUGGUUUGUCUAAUGCAAAUGAUUCGCAGGGAGGUCAGUAUUUUCAAAAAGACCUUUUUAAAUUAACUUUUGUAUUCAUUGUCUAAAAUAUUUUAUAAUAUAAAACAACUUUUGACAAUGGAUCUCUUGGUCUCGCAACGAGAGACCAGCAAAAUGCGAUAAGUAGUGUGAUUGCAGAAUACGUGAAUCAUGAAUCUUCGAACCAUAUUGCACUUUUUUAGUUUACUAAAAAAGUAUGUUGUUUGAGUAUCAGUAAAUAUUCUCGUAAACUUUUGUUUUUUAUGUUAUGAGUGUUUUACAACGAUAACAAGUGUUUCACUUUAAUUUUUUUUUAAAAUUUGAAUUUUUCUAAUUUUAAAAUAAUUGGAUAAAAUUUUCCCGUAAAAAGGAAUAACCUAAACAAUUUAAUUUUGAUUGGAAUUCUUCAUAUAAAGGAAAUUUAACUAAAUAACUGAUCUCAAAUCAGAUAAGAUACCGCUGAACUUAAGCAUAUCAAUAACGAGGAAAAGAAACUAACAAGAUUCCUUAGUAACGCGAGUGAAGCGGGAGAGCUCAAAUUUGAAAUCUUCAAGGUUUUACCUUGAGAAUUGUAGUUUAAGAAUGUUUUUGUUGAAGUUUUGGUAAAAGUUCUUUGAAUAGACAUCAUAGAGGUGAGAAUCCGUAUUUGACAUUAUUUUAGCUGUGUGAUACCACUUUCAAAGAGUCGGAUUGUUUGGGAUGCAGUCAAAAUGGGUGGUAAAUUUCAUCUAAAGCUAAAUAUUGGCGAGAGACCGAUAGCAACAAGUACGUGAGGGAAAGAUGAAAAGAAUUUGAAAAGAGUUAAACAGUACGUGAAAUUGUCAAAGGGAAGCGUUUGACACAGUGUUGUUUCUCGAAAUCAAUUAAAAGAGUUGGAUUUGUGUUGUAUUGACCUUAACACUUGCUUCACUCUUUUCUUGCUUUUUUAAUGCACUUUUCGUUUAACAAGUCAACAUAGUUUCUUUUGUUGUAAAAGGUAUUGGAAGGUGGCUUCUCUUCGGAGAAGUGUUUAUAGCCUUUGAUCUCUGCAAUCGAGAGACUGAGUCUGCAGCGUAGAUCUUCGGGGUUAGAUACAUUUGUGCUAAGCUACAGCUUUCAUAACACUCGUUGACUAUGUUUAG
rnacentral:misc_RNA from 1 species